rnacentral:rRNA from 1 species
ACUCCUACGGGAGGCAGCAGUGAGGAAUAUUGGUCAAUGGGCGCAAGCCUGAACCAGCCAUCCCGCGUGAAGGAAGAAUGCGCUACGCGUUGUAAACUUCUUUUCCAGGGGGAGAAUAAUCCUGUCGUGACAGGACUUGACGGUACUCUGGGAAUAAGCAUCGGCUAACUCCGUGCCAGCAGCCGCGGUAAUACGGAGGAUGCGAGCGUUAUCCGGAUUUAUUGGGUUUAAAGGGUGCGUAGGCGGAUUGAUAAGUCAGUGGUGAAAUUCUACAGCUUAACUGUAGACUUGCCGUUGAUACUGUUAGUCUUGAGUGUGGUCAAGGCAGGCGGAAUGUGUAAUGUAGCGGUGAAAUGCUUAGAUAUUACACAGAACACCGAUUGCGAAGGCAGCUUGCUGGGUCAUUACUGACGCUGAUGCACGAAAGCGUGGGGAUCAAACAGGAUUAGAUACCCUGGUAGU